CCCUUAGAUGCUCUGGGCCGCACGCGCGCUACACUGAUGCAUUCAACGAGUUUCUUCCUGGUCCGAGAGGAAUGGGUAACCUUUUGAAAGUGCAUCGUGAUAGGGAUAGACUAUUGCAAUUAUUGGUCCUCAACGAGGAAUUCCUAGUAGACGUAGUUCAUCAGACUGCAUCGAUUACGUCCCUGCCCUUUGUACACACCGCCCGUCGCUCCUACCGAUUGAAUGCUCAGGUGAGCCAUUCGGACUUUCAUCAUGCUGGUUUCCAGUUUUGAUGAAGGAAAGUCUUGCGAACCUUAUCAUUUAGAGGAAGGAGAAGUCGUAACA
rnacentral:rRNA from 1 species